rnacentral:piRNA from 1 species
GUAGGAUUUAGAUUAUGUUGUAUAUU